UGUCUGUCUGUUCCAGAUGUCGACAUGGGUGACGCAUGUGCAGGAGACUUGGACCAGGAUAAGGUGUUUAGACAACUCUCCUGAGGAUACUCCACUACUACCGUCUCAGGAUCGACAACUGUCCAGAGAAUGCUGAGGUCACCCUGACCAACUUCAGAGCCUAUCAGACAGCAGUACUGGACCCUGAGGGCGACUCCCAGAUUGACCCCAACUGGGUGGUCCUCAACCAGGGUAUGGAGAUAGUUCAGACUAUGAACUCUGACCCUGGCCUUGCUGUAGGUUUGAUCUUCGGCUACCAGGACUCCUCCUCUUUCUACGUGGUCAUGUGGAAACAGACUGAACAGACCUACUGGCAGGCUGUACCCCUCAGAGCUGUGGCUGAGCCUGGCAAGGCUCAAGGACUUCCUUUCGCACCUUCUCCUUUUUCUCUCCCUCUCCCUCCUCCAGGCAGUGAAGUCUAAGACGGUUCCAGGGGAGUAUCUCAGGAACUCCCUGUGGCAUACAGGAGACACCAACGACCAGGUACACCUGCUGUGGAAGGACAAGGUAUCCUACCGCUGGUACCUACAGCACAGACCACAGGUUGGAUACACCAGGUCGCGUUUCUAAGAGGGUCCUAACCUGGUAGCAUACUCCAGUGUGAAGAUAGACACCAGUUUGGGAGGAGGGAGAUUGGGCGUCUUCUUUUUCUCCCAAGAAAACAUAAUCUGGUUCAACCUCAAGUACCGCUGCAAUAACACCAUACCUGAAGACUACCAGGAGAACAGUGCACAGAACACUGAAUAAACCCACCCGGGACGGGAGAGAGGGAGGGGAGGAGAAAGAUGGGGAGAGGGGUGGUUGAGAGGAAAAAAAGGGGAGAAUGGGACAGAGAAGAGUGGAGAGAAAGAGAUGGAGAGAGGAAAAGGGAAAAAGAGGAGAUGAGAUGAGAGAAGAGACUAAGCAGCAUAGUGCAUUUCAGUGGGCAUUAUUAGAGGAGUGAAGGGGAGGAUUAACACAAGCAAAUAUAAAAGCAUUAUUAUUACUGCUAGACUUGUGCCUGGGAUGAGGACUGAGGUCUACUCAUCAGGGCAACAGACUUCCGGACAUUACUUGUUAUUGCUGUGUUGACGUGCUCUGCAGUCUGUACAUACUGUACUAUUAUAAUAGGUUCAACUAGAAGAUUGAUGAUUGUAGUGUUGUUGUAAACCUGUAUGUGUGUUAUCUGGGGAAAGGGUUGGUGUAUCUAGGGGUUAAAACUUUAGUUAGUGUCUCCUCUACUAUGGAGGUAACAGAAGAGCAAGGGGAAUAGAUUGUUGUUUUGACUGGCCGUACAUUAAAAGACACCUGGACAUUGGUUGUCCAGGUGUCUUUUAAUGUAAGGCCAGUCAAAUCAACAAUCUAUUCCCCUUGUCUUUUAGUUAAUCUAUUAAUAAACAUUCUGAGCAUUUGUUAAAAUACCGUCUCUGGGUCUUUUGUUUGGUGUGUAACUGAAUAGAUUGCUAGUUGUUAAGUAGAU